rnacentral:lncRNA from 1 species
ACAAUAGUUAGGAUGAAAAUUAAACUUUGAAACUACUAACAACUAAUCGGGUUUCAUUUGGUUAAGAAGAAGCUUUUAGCCCUUACUCCCCAUGUGACCUUUUGGAUGAUUUUGAGAAAAACGAAUAGGAGAUUGUUUGAGGGUAUUUUAUUUAAUGUUGCUAGCACAAGAGAGCAAUGGUUACACAACUUAAGUCUAUUUUAUUCCUGUAACACCUUUGCUAGCCUUCGCACAAAAUUUGUAUCUUGAAACCCCUAUUUAUUUGGGCAUUAAGGCCGCAUGAACUCU